AAACCCUUGCUAGUAAUGAAUAGGAAGAGAAACCCGGGAUGUUUAAGAAAGACAAACAAAAGCAAAGGCAGAAUUGAUAGCAAUAGUGGUUUAGGAGUGUGAACUGCGUUUCAGGAAGCCCGCAGGGUACUGGCUCACCUUCGGACAGGAUAGCUACAUCUGCUGUGCCUCCAAGUUCAGAAGGGUUCUGUUGCCUCAAAAGGCAAUAGGACCCAAACUGCAUUUUUUUUUUUUCCUUUACAGAAUUCCAGGACUGAGGAGAAGAUGGUGAGGUCACUUCUAGGUUUGCAUUUCUGUGACAAUUCAUGUUCAGGAAGAUGUUUGCAUGCACGAAUUCAGACCCUGUUCAUUAUCAGUGUGAAGAUUACUUCAGGAACCCCUGAGUUCCAGGGCAAAUUCUGCUUGCAGCCCUGUGACUUAUGACAUGUGACUUGCUCAUUGCCUCAGUAUCUCAAGUUCCUUAUAUAAUGUGAUGUAAAAUAACAGAGAGAGCCAAGUAUUCUCUAAGAUCUUUAGUAUACUUAAAAAAUCUGUUUCAGAGUGGAACACCACACUAUUAACUGUCUAAAUAAUCACACUCCCUUCCUCCCAAAAAGCAAAGCAAAACAAAAAAACCAACAGAUACAGAAGCAACUCUGUUGUCGGGGACAGAGCCUGGAUUAUCUUCCAGAAAAGAAAUACUUUGCCUGAGGAGGGGAUCUGACAUCUGGCACCGAGCGGCUGCAGCGGCAGGGCAUUGCAGAAUUGUUGGCUUCGCUGGGUUGACUGCUCAUGGUUUCCUGAUUUAGGUCACCAUGGAUACUGCUGCUCUAACACUGUGACUAUAUUGCUGAAGAGACAAAACCUA
rnacentral:lncRNA from 1 species